GACGAACGCUGGCGGCGUGCCUAAUACAUGCAAGUAGAACGCUGAAGGAGGAGCUUGCUCUUCUGGAUGAGUUGCGAACGGGUGAGUAACGCGUAGGUAACCUGCCUGGUAGCGGGGGAUAACUAUUGGAAACGAUAGCUAAUACCGCAUAAGAGUAGAUGUUGCAUGACAUUUGCUUAAAAGGUGCAAUUGCAUCACUACCAGAUGGACCUGCGUUGUAUUAGCUAGUUGGUGGGGUAACGGCUCACCAAGGCGACGAUACAUAGCCGACCUGAGAGGGUGAUCGGCCACACUGGGACUGAGACACGGCCCAGACGCCUACGGGAGGCAGCAGUAGGGAAUCAUCGGCAAUGGACGGAAGUCUGACCGAGCAACGCCGCGUGAGUGAAGAAGGUUUUCGGAUCGUAAAGCUCUGUUGUAAGAGAAGAACGAGUGUGAGAGUGGAAAGUUCACACUGUGACGGUAUCUUACCAGAAAGGGACGGCUAACUACGUG
rnacentral:rRNA from 1 species